AUCCACUUGGGGAGUACGUUCGCAAGAAUGAAACUCAAAGGAAUUGACGGGGGCCCGCACAAGCGGAGGAACAUGUGGUUUAAUUCGAUGAUACGCGAGGAACCUUACCUGGGUUUAAAUGUAGGUUGCAUGAACGGGAAACUGUUCUUUCUUUCGGGACUACCUACAAGGUGCUGCAUGGUUGUCGUCAGCUCGUGCCGUGAGGUGUCGGGUUAAGUCCCAUAACGAGCGCAACCCCUAUCGUUAGUUGCCAUCAGGUCAUGCUGGGGACUCUAACGAGACUGCCGGUGUAAACCGUGAGGAAGGUGGGGAUGACGUCAAAUCAGCACGGCCCUUAUAUCCAGGGCUACACACGUGUUACAAUGGUCGGUACAAAGGGCAGCUACCUGGUGACAGGAUGCUAAUCUCUAAAGCCGAUCACAGUUCGGAUCGAAGUCUGCAACUCGACUUCGUGAAGUUGGAUUCGCUAGUAAUCGCGCAUCAGCCACGGCGCGGUGAAUACGUUCCCGGGCCUUGUACACACCGCCCGUCAAGCCAUGGAAGCUGGGGGUGCCUGAAGUCUGUAACCGUAAGGAGCGGCCUAAGGUAAAACUAGUAACUGGGGCUAAGUCGUAACAAGGUAGCCG
rnacentral:rRNA from 1 species